UACGGAAGGCAGCAGUGGGGAAUAUUGCACAAUGGGCGCAAGCCUGAUGCAGCCAUGCCGCGUGUAUGAAAAAGGCCUUUCGGGUUGUAAAGUACUUUCAGUCGUGAGGAAGGUGUUAAGGUUAAUAACCUUAGCAAUUGACGUUAGCGACAGAAGAAGCACCGGCUAACUCCGUGCCAGCAGCCGCGGUAAUACGGAGGGUGCGAGCGUUAAUCGGAAUUACUGGGCGUAAAGGGCACGCAGGCGGUUAAUUAAGUUGGAUGUGAAAUCCCCGGGCUUAACCUGGGAAUGGCAUUCAAGACUGGUUAGCUAGAGUCUUGUAGAGGGGGUAGAAUUCCAUGUGUAGCGGUGAAAUGCGUAGAGAUGUGGAGGAAUACCGGUGGCGAAGGCGGCCCUGGACAAAGACUGACGCUCAUGUGCGAAAGCGUGGGGAGCAAACAGGGAUUAGAUACC
rnacentral:rRNA from 1 species